rnacentral:tRNA from 1 species
GCCGGGGUGGCGAAAUCGGUCAGACGCGGCGGACUUAAAAUCCGCUACCCCAAAAGGGCAUACGGGUUCGAGUCCCGUCCCCGGCA